GACAGAGGGUGCGAACGUUGCUCGGAAUUACUGGGCGUAAAGGGCGCGUAGGCGGCCUGUUAAGUCGAACGUGAAAUCCCCGGGCUCAACCCGGGAACUGCGUCCGAUACUGGCAGGCUUGAAUCCGGGAGAGGGAUGCGGAAUUCCAGGUGUAGCGGUGAAAUGCGUAGAUAUCUGGAGGAACACCGGUGGCGAAGGCGGCAUCCUGGACCGGCAUUGACGCUGAGGCGCGAAAGCCAGGGGAGCAAACGGG
rnacentral:rRNA from 1 species